GGGCGGCGGGCCUAUCCAACUACGGAAGCAAUCAAGCUAGCCACGCCGGCGGCUUUGCAAGUUCGCAUGGCCGCAUUCCCAACUCGACGGCGGGAACUGACUGCUCGCCGCCGCCCGGUCAGCAUCUAGCCAUCCAGGGUAAUGGUAGUUGGAAAAGACCGAUCAAUCUUGCUUGCUGCGGCUGUAAUAACCCAAGGAGCUGUAUUGAAAAUAACUUGUGGUCGAGGGCCAUCGUUUCCCCCAGCAUAAACAAUGGUAAUCCCCUUCUGGACUGCAUGGAGUGCACCAAAUGAAUCCUCAUCAGCAUGAAUUGAGAGGGACAGGAUAUCAACUCCAUCAUGAAUUGCAUCAUCUAGAGCUGCUAGCACUCCGGCACUAGCAAGCUGUAGGCUAUUCCCUGUGUUCCAUAUGACCUUAUACACAGCAAGACGUGCUCGGGGUGCACCUCCACGGGCUACUCCUGUUGCUAGGCCAUGGACGCUGACUCCAUCUACCACUGCACCAGCUGCUAUGGAUGCUGUAUGCGUUCCAUGCCCGAUCAUGUCCCGGGCAGACAUGUAAUUCUUCUUAAAGUCAGCUUUUUCUAUACCUGCAGCAUAGUACCGUGCACCAAUGAUUUUCCUGCUGCAGUUGGUUGGCCCCCAGGCCUGUCCUAGUUGACACACGCCCUUCCAUCGUGAUGGUAUUGAAGUUUAUUGGGUGGUUGGUAGUUCAGUCCGAGGAAAUCCCAACUUCUUGUGGUCAGCAAUUCAUGUUGCUUAUUUGGGGUAACACUGAUCACUUCAGUGUGGGAGUCAGACCUACUGUCGCCAUCAUGGGAUUCAGGUAACCGCAUCAACAGCAAUUGCAGCUGGUCAAAGCAGUAGCUAUUCAAUCCUAGGAACGUUUUAGGAUCAUUUGGUCAUUAGGAUUUGAUUAGUUACAUUCUCACAAUGAUAGUUGCUUUCCUUAUCUUUAUACUUCUCUGUUUAUGAAGAGAUGUUCACAGUGAAAAACAACUAGGCAAGGAAGAAUAAACAAAGUCUCUAAUCUUCUUCCCAGUUCAGCAAUAAACCUCAAAGCUUCUGUACUGCAGUUGGGAAGAAUUCUGCCGGUGGUUAGAUGGAAGUGAGCGUCCUACCCUUGGUCUCAACUCUCAAACCCAUACCAUGCACAUAACAAACAUGACUGGUAAAUUUAGCACUGAGUUAGUCAAGUUAACUUUUGUUAGCUAAACUCAGUUCACCUGCAAGAUUAUCUGCUUGCUCCUCUGUUAGCAUUGCUGCAAAGCCUGAGAAGCCAUGUUUGUAGCUGUAAGCAAUGGAGGCCAGCGCCUCUUCCUUGCUGAAACAAAGUGGUAAGCCAUGAGAAACAACACCGAACAUGUUUAUAGUUAGUUAUAAAAUGAAGUGUUUGGAGUUGUUGAAGCAAAUAGGCAGCUCAUAAAAUAAUAUUGGUGUUGAGAAGGUAAGAACUAAAACACCCCAAAGCAAAUAAACUCCUUAGAUUACCUUCCAAGAACGCUGGUGAGCAUGUCAUGGUGUGAGGCAGUGACAAGAGUAGGGUCAUCAUAUUUCUUCUCGCCCAGAUAGGCAAUGUACAACUAUGCAUAUAUAGAGAAGCAGAGAAAACAUCUUUGACCACCAAAUCUGCAUACAAAAUAAGAUGUAGGGUGAUGCACUGUGCAUACCUUGCGAGAUCCAUAUAUUCCUCUGAUCAUCAAAAGCCAUACACAAAAUAGGAGGAAAGCUGGAAAGCGCUGAAAUGGAGAGUGCAGAAUCAUGUUGGGACUUCUUAUACAUCAGUAUGAUCUAGUAGGUAUUGGUAUUUAUAGGUCUUUAGGUCUUGCUUGGUGGCUUCUGUCCAUGUCCAGAAAGAAAUGUGACACUCACAUUUGUUCAAUGAAUUAAAUGUGGCACUCAAAUUCGUUCAAUGAAUUCGAUCGCUGAAUGUUUAUGUCUACUAGUCUAGGGUCACAACGUAAGACAAAAUGUCAUAUGUUUUGCUGUUCAUUUUCUUCUUGUCCAAGUGUCCUCCCUGGGUUUUCUCUAGUAGGGGAUUCCCUGGAAUUUUCUGCCAAACUAGCUUAACUCAUGGUCAUGGGUUGUAUUUCUCCGUGCUACCACCUCCAGCUUAUCUUGCAUGAGUACUUUUCGUUUAUCUUGGUUAUGCUAGUCUUUUUUUUUAAAAAAAAAUCAGAUAUUCAGAGUGAGAAGCAUGGAGGCUAGAAUUUAUUCAUCUAUACGUCAAUAACUCAACAAAUUGAAUAUUCGGAGGCAAAGUGGAACAAAAUUCCAGGAGAUGCUACUAUGGUUUACAGUUUACACUAGCAAACACGAAGCAGUGGAGCCCAGGAGCCCCCUGAUUUGCUAUAAUGGUUUCUCAAUCAGCGGGGAAUUUUGACUCUUCUGUUCUCCCCGUGCCAUUGCACAUCAUUAUGUGGAGUCGUCUUCCGCGUUUGUUCGUUUAACUGAUGGAGACUAGACGGCUAGAGUGCUGAUUCGUGCAAGUUUAGUCUUACAAGACGUCGCUGCUUUCUGAUCUUUUGUUUAUCUGGAAGAAAAGGGUACAGGUAAGCUCAUAUAACUCUAAUACUUCUGGAUAAUAUGGAGAUGAUCAGACUUUUGCAUUCGAGUGCUGAUCCAUUGGCGCUUCGCUUCCAUGUGGGUGCUGCCGGCUGACUGAAGCCAUUUGUCUUAGGCGUAUUGGAUUGGUCUGGUUUAAGGAACUAACGAAAUUUUGUAGUGCCAGGUAGAGAUGGAAAAUAUGUGUUUGAUUUGAUGCACAUUGUAUUAUUGUCAGAUAAAUGGAUGAGUAUUACCC
rnacentral:sRNA from 1 species